AGGAGGAACAACCACAGUGGCGGCGGCCAGCUCUGGAGCCAUGGAUUCAGCUCCGGCAGUAACUAUGGAGCCUUCAGUCUGCAGGGCCUGGAGGCUCUGGGGCGGG
rfam:Canis lupus familiaris chromosome 6, whole genome shotgun sequence.